UGAAGUCUAAAAAAACCCCCAGAUUUUUCCUAAGUUUCUGAUUCAUGGUGAGUAAGGAGGAGGUGAAGGUCCGGAGGCGAUCUUCUCAUAGGCUGGAGGAGCAUUAGGAAUCUGGAAGAGAGAAGAAACAUCUGAUGUUGCUGAGUUCGUUCAAGGCCAUUUUGUUCUCCUCUCCUGAUCCAGACUCGCUGAACUGACCCGCUCUCAUCAUCUCCCUCCACGACUGACCACCAUUUCGGCCGCUCUGAAAAACAAACACAUGAGAGAUUCUUUGUGAGGAUAAAUCCAGAGGAUACAACAUAAUGCAGUGCAAAACUUCGGGAGAAAUGGUGAAGAUGCACUGUUCCAGCAUUGGAAGACUGUAUGAUUGUGUUAUACAUGCAGUGUUUUAAAUAAAG